rnacentral:lncRNA from 1 species
ACACCCAGCAGCCAAGGUUGAAGGAUGAUGGGAACUGCAACCCAGCCCUUUCUGGAGGCCCUCAAUUUGCCCACUGGCAGUCUAGUCCAGAUCAGUUCUAGUAUUUAGUAAUUUUUAGUAAUGGUGGCAAGCACAAUAUGUUCCCUCUUAGUUCCUGGGGAAGGGGGGGAUGUGUUCUGUUUUUCUUGUAAAUCAGCUCUCAGUCUUGGUCAGUGGUUAGCAUUCCACGGCACUUAAGUAAAUUGAAAACACACGCCCGCGUCACCGUGCCAUGGCCAAGGCAGUCGGGCUCCUCAGCGCUGGCUGAGGAAUAAACACAUCCGUCCUUCUGUCUCGUAUGCAUGCGCGGCUGGACCGGUGGAGAAAAGGGUCUUCUUCGGUUGACUGGGUGACCCUCCAGAGAGAAGGACCGUAGGAGUUUCCUUUCCCACCCACCCCGGGACGGAGGAUUUCCAGAGCUGCCAUCCACCUGAUUUUGACUAAGCCCUUUUGGGGGAAGCAACACCACCGGAGUUUUCACAGACAGCUGCAACGGCCUUCUGGAAGAGAUAUCUUGAACAUGCGUGGAACAAGGCAAAACCCUUUGGGGACCGUGCUCCUUGCCUUAUGUGUUUUCGUGCCCAUCCCUUCAGCGCAGACGAUGGAGGACGAGAUGGUGGUGGAGGACAUCCCUAUGGGGCAGAAGAGGGCACCACCGACGGAAGCCCCCGAGGAACGGGGUGCUGAGCAGGCCAGUCCAAGCUAUUGCGACUUCACGUUUCACAUUCCCUGGUCUGGGAGCGUUUGCUCCCCACCGCCUACCCCAGCAUCCCUCUUGGCCUCUCAGGAGGAGGUGGACCACCUCAAGACCUUCUUGGCCGGCAACGGGGAAGUCCUGAAGGUCCUUCAAGAGGAGGCGCUUCGGGAGGCUGGAAGGUCCCGGUUCCAGGACGUCAUCUCCGAAGCCCUUCCGGACGUGAGAGAGGCCAACGAGGCCUUUUACGAGACCCUGGAGAAGUUCUUACAGGAGCUGGAAGACCACGGGCAAGGCGACCCUCCGCCUCACGAGGAGGACGAGAAAAAGAAGUUAAAGGAGCACUUGAGGAUGAUGGAUCACAUGCUGCGGGUCACCGGCCGCCUUGCCGAGGCGAUGGAGCAGGUGUCCCGGAACCUCCUGGCGACUCUGGCCACCUCGGGCGAAGCUCCUGCCCUUGCCUAGGGAAGUCCCCCUGGGGCUGCUUUGGGAGGGAUGGAAAGAUGCUCCCGCCGUGGACUCUCCAGCAGCGACGGCCUUGAGCCUUUGGAGCCAUGCGCUUUCCUGACAUCCCAGGCCCCCGGUGUGAACGGACUCGAGACUCGAACUCGGGGCAUGGGAUUCAGGAAAUGCCCCCUCCCCCAAGACUCAGGAUUCCAACAUCCCUGGGAGUCGCCAAGGCUCACCAGGGACUGGGGCAGGUGCCAUCGUUUGGAUGAAAUCCCUGUGCUAGCAGGGGCAUUGGUGACGGCCACCUUCGGCAUGUGGAUUCCCUGGGGGAUUCUGGGAGUUGUGGUGGUGGUGGGGAACAGGCAUUCUCAUGCCCCUGCUCCUUAGAAUCAGCCACGCUUGUCAGCUAAACCCCAGCCUGUUAUGGGGGCCAUCCAGAAACCAAAUCCUCAACUACCUUUUGCCUUCUACCGGAUGAGAACAGAGCUAGGAGACUUUUUUUAUACUACAACUCCCAGUAUCCCCCACCAAGCCCAGCCAGUGGGUUUCUUCACCUUUUAUGAUUCAAGGCUACGCGCUUCCAUGGGAGGGGGCUGCCAGAGGUCACUUGUCCAUCCAAAGGGCCACAUCUUGUCCAAGAAUCACAAGAAGGAAGGCGGUCGGGGCCGUUGACCUCACCCAUCAUCCACGAUGAGCAUCCCCCGGGGCAGCCGCCGCCUCGGCUGAAGGAUCGCACGCAGGGCCAUCCGAUCACAGGCUUCUCCCUCCGAGCGAAAUGCAUCGGAAUUCUAGGAAAUCCUUUCGCUUCUUCUCUACAUGUAAACCAGCACGGGUCAUUUUACGCAAAGCCGUGUUUUAUUCCAUUUGCCUUUCUUUAGGCGACGCGCCCUUUCGGGUGAUGUGUUUUUAAAACAUAAAUUUUAAUAAAGGUUAAACAAGACGUAACGUAGGAAACA